rnacentral:lncRNA from 1 species
UUGUGGACAUCACUUUUAAGAAUUUGCUAGGAUAUAGUAGAUGCCUUAUAUCUGAUGCAGUUGUACCAUGACAAGUUUCUAACUGCUAUGAAUUGACUUCAAAUAAAAGUUUAUAUCCUUUUAGAAUAAAAUACUAGAGAUAUUAGCAAUAAGGUAUAGAAAAAUUCUAUGAGAGCGACAAUGUACUCAAAAAACAUAAUUGUUUUUGUGUUGUUUAUCAUUAAAAAGAGGAAUUUUAUAAAUAUUAUGAUAUAAGAGAAAUGAAAAAAAAGGAGAGGUAUGAGUAGGUGAAAUAGGCUAGAACAUGUUAGUGACCAAUCUUCUUGUUCACUUUUUACUGUGAUGAUUGUUUGAUGUCGAAACAUAGUCUUAACCUUCGAGAGAAAUAAAUUUGAAUUAUCAUAAUAACAGAUUCAAGAGUUUUAAAGAAAGUUUAAUUAUCUAAACAUUAUGUAAGAGGGGAUUGAAGAUACAAGUAAAAUACGCACAUAAAAUAGGUGAUAGUUACGAGAUGGUAGGUGUGAUUAAGGGGUUAAUUUAUCUCAUUAAUAACAUAUUAGUUACUCUAGUUAGGAAAAAAAUACGGAAGAUUGUAGAGUCUAUCAAACUUUUAAGAACAUGACAUAAAUAGUGUAUGAAUUCCUAAUGUACUUUUUGAUAAAUAUUUCGAUUCAUCACUUGGAAGUGGAUAGAAGGUAUAUGUUGGAAAAUCGAAUUAAUCACUGCAAUAGAUUAUUCUUUUUUCCUUUUCAGAAGUAUUAUUAUAUUUGAUAAGAUUAUAUAAAUUAUUUUGGAGGAAGUGAUAUUAUUUGAGAUACUAUUGUUGUUUAUUGGAAGUUUAGUUUUUAUCUAUAUUGGUGAUAUAGUUAGAUUUUAAACACUUUAAUCGUUACAAGUAAUUAUUAUUGAUAGGUUAUAUUGUUAUCUGUUUAUAUAUAAAUAUGUGUAUAUAUAUAUAUAUAUAUAUAUAUGUUUUGAAUAUUGGUAUUUAGUUUCUUAAUUGGAUUGUGCAAAGUUAGCUAUGAAAAUAUAAUUAUUUAUGUUUCCUUAGUUAUUUCCUGGAUUCCAGAUAUAACCCUUAUUCCUCCAAUAGAUUAUUGAAUAAAUGAAUAAGAUAAUUUUUGUAUAGCAUAUUGUGAUAUUGAGGUUGAUUAUUAGCAAGAAUAAAUUAUGUUAGUAUAAACUUUAUGUUAUUAUCUAUUGUUAAGAGCUACGUGGACCUGAUCCUCUAUUGGAGGUACGUAGGCAGGCUUCGGGUGCGGUCCAAAUAUAACUUAUGUUAAGACUUUAAUCAGCAAAUAGUAGCGAUGUAAAUUCAAGCCAUAUUAACAGAUUUUCAUGUUGAAUAAAUUACUUAUUGGAAAUUUAAGAAGUUUAAUAUGACUAAAAUAAUUAACACACAUAUAAUUAUAUUUAUAAGAGUAUAGAUAAAAAUAAAGCCACAAAAGAAAUCACUGAAUUAGAUAAGAUAUAGGAGAACAAUUUUCAUAAAGAGACCAUGAGUGAAUUAGACCCUUAAUAUUGCCAAAACAUGACUAUAACUUAGGAUAGAUGCAUACAGAAGUACCUAAAAUGAAUAACUUGGAAAGCUUGUCAAAGGAACGAAAAUUGGCAUGCGAAUAGGUGCAAUUUGUGAUGUAGAACAGCAAUUGAAAGGCAGUGUCCCAAUCUAGAUAUAAAACGUAAGUUGGCAUUUGAAAGGCAGUGUCGUAGUUCAGUUAUAAGGCAUAGACGAAGUGUCGCACCUAUGCCAAAUCCUCAUUUACUAGCAAACUAAAUGAAAUUGUUUCUUGAAAAAAUAAAGAAUAAUGGCAUAAAAAUUCAAAAUUUUAUUUCUUGGCACAAUAAAUUAGGAUUUAAAAAUAUUUGGCGAUUCUUUCCAAAUUUGAAUUGAAAGUGGGGGAGUAUCUGUCGGUAGCAGGCCAUAUUGUAUUUUUAUAUUACUUGAUGCUGGAUUCUACGCUACACCAUGGACCAAGGCGAGGUAUUAAUCGUUGGUUAAUUAAGGUAAAAUUCAUAAAUGGUGUAGAAAAACCUAAAACGCUCUCAUGGACGCCGUCGCUCGCUGCCGAAUUUAUUUUCCCGACAUCGUCCUUCGCACAAAAAGUUGGCCUUCUCGCUUCACCACCAUUUUGGCCUCAGAAAAGGAGAUAUUGCCUUCGUGCUUUCUCCUAACUCUAUUCAGCUUUCGGUCCUUUAUUUCUAUAUCUUCUCUCUCGGUGUCGUUACCUAUCCUAAAAAAUCAAGUAUCUUUAAACUUGAGAUUCUCCACCAAAUUCAGCUGUCGAAACCUUUACUUGUGUUCGUCACGUCGAAUGCUGCUCAUACAAUUCCUAAUCUCAAAAUAAUUCAGGAGUGUAAGAUAGACUGCACCGGCGGUGGUGCUGAUAACUAAGGAUCCUAGGUUGUUAGACGGCUAAGAUUUCAGCUCGCUAGAUGUUGCAAGUUGCAGCGUUUCUUCGCUUAGAAAAAGCGUAGUUGAACUGUUCUGUGAAUAAUUUCGAAAUUUCACUUUAAGUGAGGUUAGUUAAACACCAAACUUGGAUUUUUACCAUUAACCGGUGGUUAAUUUCUCAUAUUGGCUAUUCAAUGUGUAGCGUAUGAUCCACCAUUAAGUAAUAAAAAAAUACAGAUGGAACGUCACGUUAGCUACCGGCUAAUGCUCCCCCACUUUCAUUUUAAAUUUGAAUUGAAUCUCUAAAUGUUUUUAAAUCCUAACUUAUUGUACCAAGUAAAAUCAUUUUAAUUAAAAUGCAAAAAUUCAUAAAGGUUUAAAUUUUUCAUGCCAUUAUCCAAAAAUAUAUUAAAUGUCAUGAAAUACAUGAUAAUAGUUAAUUGACAAAAUGAGAGAAGCACCACGGUGCUUUUCCAUUUCGGUUAGUUAAAUAACCUUAUAGGGGUGUUGGAGUUAGUGGUAUUAGAGCUAACGUUUAGGCCUUUCUAGGUGUUAAGGAAAAGGAACAAGUAUCAGCAAAUGUGUAUACCUUAUAGGUUAAGGUCUGGAUAUAACUCUACUAUAGGCUUUUGUAAGUUGGCUAAGAAUGUUAUUUGACAUUCAACAUGUGUUAGAACAUACAGGUGAUAGUGUAAAGUCGUGAUCGCGAUAAUCUAUUCAAUGCUACAAAUGUUUGUAUUGUAAGCUGCAGAUUGCAUUAUGGACAUUGGAGCAUUGAGUGGAAAUUGUGUGCAUCACUUUUAAGAAUCUGCUAGGAUAUAGUAGAUGCCUUAUAUCUGAUGCAGUUGUACGAUGACAAGUUUCUAACUGCUAUAAAUUGACUUCAAAUAAAAGUUUAUAUCCUUUUAGAAUAAAAUACCAGAGAUAUUUGAAAUAAGGUAUAGAAAAAUUCUAUGAGAGCGACAAUGUACUCAAAAAACAUAAUUGUUUUUGUGUUGUUUAUCAUUAAAAAGAGGAAUUUUAUAAAUAUUAUGAUAUAAGAGAAUUGAAAAAAAGGAGAGGUAUGAGUAGGUGAAAUAGGCUAGAACAUGUUAGUGACCAAUCUUCUUGUUCACUUUUUACUGUGAUGAUUGUUUGAUGUCGAAAUAUAGUCUUAACUUUCGAGAGAAAUAAAUUUGAAUUAUCAUAAUAACAGUUUCAAGAGUUUUAAAGAAAGUUUAAUUAUCUAAACAUUAUUUAAGAGGGGAUUGAAGAUACAAGGAAAAUACGCACAUAAAAUAGGUGAUAGUUACGAGAUGGUAGGUGUGAUUAAGGGGUUAAUUUAUCUCAUUAAUAACAUAUUAGUCACUCUAGCUAGGAAAAAAAUACGGAAGAUUGUAGAGUCUAUCAAACUUUUAAGAACAUGACAUAAAUAGUGUAUGAAUUCCUAAUGUAAUUUUUGAUAAAUAUUUCGAUUCAUCACUUGGAAUUGGAUAGAGUUGCCUUUAAGAUGAUAUUGAAGGUGUAUGUUGGAAAACCGAAUUAAUAACUGGAAUAGUUCAUUCUUUUUCCCUUUUUAGAAGCAUUAUUAUAUUUGAUAAGAUUAGAUAAAUUAUUAUGGCGGAAUUGAUAUUAUUUGAGAGAAUAUUGUUGUUUAUUGGAAGUUUAGUUUUUAUCUAUAUUGGUGAUAUAGUUAGAUUUUAAACACUUUAAUCGGUACAAGUAAUUAUUAUU